rnacentral:lncRNA from 1 species
GGUGAUGGUGGUGGUACUGGAGGUGAUGGUGGUGGUGAAGGUGAUGGUAGAGGUAAUGGAAGUGAUGGUGGAGGUGAUAGAUAUUUGAACAUGCCUGACCUAAGAAAAGUUCAUUUUCAUUUUUGGCUGGGCACUAUGGCUGAUGCCUGUAACCCCAACUCUUUAGGAAGCCUAGGUGGAAGGGUGGCUUGAACCCAGGAGGUCAGGGCUGCAGUGAGCUAUGACUGUGCCACUGCACUCCAACCCAGGUGACGGAGCGAGACCCUGUCUCUUAAAAUAUUUUUUUUACAGUGCAUUUUCAUGUGUUUCAACCUCCUAGUGUCCCUGCCAAAAAUAUUUUAAUCUGAAUCAAAUCAUGGGGAAAUUAUGAGACAAAUCAGGUCAAAAGACAGUUUACAAAACAGUUGGCCUGAACUUUUCAAAACUGUCAACAUGUUAAAAGAAAAAAGAAAAAAAUGACCAGGGAACUCUUCUAGAAAAGAGAUGUGAUAAGUAAAUGCAGAAAAGAGACGUGAUAAGUAAGUACAGCGUGUGUCCCAGGAGGAUCUAGGAUCCAGUCAGGACAGGAGCUGGAGCACGAGAGGAACGGGGGUGGAGACCACUUCCUGGGGGCAGAGUGUCCUCCUCUCCACGUUGCACGUCCUGAGUGGGAAACCUGCACUGGAGUUGCACAGGGAAGGGCUAGGGUCUUAGGAGACCCUGCCCAGGUAUGUAGUGGCAAGGUGCCAUGAUGCCUGCAACUUACUUUCCAACGGUUUGGGAGAGAAAAUGCUCAUUUGUGCAGAGUCCGAAGAGGGAGCACAGAGGAGAGAGGAAGAGUGAAAGCAGCUGUGUGAAGCGUGAAUCGCACAGGACUGGAGUUGAAUGAAUGUGGGUGGUGGUGUGCUAUUCUUGCGACCUUUUUGAAAGUUCAAAAAUUUUCAAAGUAUAACAUGAGAGAUAAGUCCUUUCAGAAUAAAAAGCCGGUUGUGCAGUAGGAGGACCAGUAGUGGCCCCUGGUUGGGUCUCUGAUUCUAGAAAGCCAACCUGGGCUGCUGUGACCGGCCACUAGCAUGGCUGACUGUUGAUGAAGGUUGGGGAGAGCCCUGGUGUUCGCGGAGUCCCGCGCUCUCUGUAUUGCCGUAAUGCUCUGUCUUUCUCCUUUCAUGGGAGUGUGCCGUGGCAUUUAGUCGUGAGAGUGGGUGUGACCUGUGUGCGGGUUUUGCAGGUCUGGAGGCGGCUGGUGGAAAUCCAAUUCCCCGCGGAGCAUGGCUGGAAGGAGUCGUUGCUGGGAGACAUGGAAUGGAGGCUCACAAAGGUACCAAAAGUUUGGGGGCAGUCUUUUCAGGGCGUGAAGGCAAGCUGGAGAACCCCAGACCAUUAGCGACAGCCAAGAGAUCUCAGCAGUGCCUCUCUGUGGGCAGGGAUGGGGUGAAUCACAGCUCCGUGUUUCUGUUUCUGAUCCAGCCCUUAUAGUCUGUCCCUAGAAGAGCGCUUCGGAGUCUUACUGAGAGGACAGAGAAGAACAAGGGCCCAGGAUCUCACCAUCAUGGGGGUGCGGGAUUUUUCCUGACCCCUUCGUUGGACUUGCGACAGGGAUGCUGUGUUUACUUGGCCCGCCGUGCUCAACCCCUUGUGGGAGGGAGCACGUGAGUGAGUGUGGCAUCUGGCCAGCUGCUUUGGGAGCUGGCAGGAGCAAGCUCCGUGCAGGCCCUGCAGCAGUGCCCAGAUUGAGGUGCCUGCAACCCCCGAAGCUCCAGAGGGCAUGUUACAGUGCUCUCUUAGCUCCGCCGUCUAUGGACAGUAGUGUGUUAUCAGCUCAGUGGGUCCCUUGCCUUGUUGCCUAGGGUGGCUGCCCUCUGCCAGGGCCAAUGUGACAGCCUCUUUUAGGUACCCACACUCGGUGGGUCCCAAGCUCUUGUCCAGCAUCCAAGAAGAAUGGGGUCACCCGGACACUUGAAGGAUGGUGAAGGUGGAGAAUUUUAUUAAGCAAUGGAAAUGGCUCUCCAUGGAGAGGGGAGCUGGAGAGGGGAUGGGUCAGGUGGGGAAUCUUCCUCUGGUCCAGGUGUCUGGCUGGCUCUUCCCUGAAGUCAGGACGUCUUUCCGAAGUUAAACCGUCUCUCCUUGGAAGUCCAGCCAUCCCUCUGAAGUCAAGUCACCUGUUUCCAGUGAAGCUACUUCUCUCUCACUACCAAGUCUGGGGUCUUUAUAGGCACAAGAUAGGGGGCAGGGUGGGCCCUAGGUAGUUUUGGAAAAAGCAACAUUCUAUUGGUAAAAAGACAUUACUCCGAAAGAACCAGUGGGGAGAGAGUAGGCACACGGGGAUAGAGGUUCUCACUUUGGGCCAUGGGUUUCAGGCUUUUCGGCUCGAAGGUGGGGUUUUGCCAGGGACCCGCCCCUGUCUGCGUAGGAUUUCUCUGCCUCCUGCCUCCAUCAAUGGGGCCCCAGGCACAGGAGGGGCCAGGCCUGCCCAUAGGCAGGAAGUCUAAGUGGCCUGUUGGUGACAGGAACCUCAUGACACACAAGUGGAGAACACACAGACAUGCCCCUCAUGCUGAAUUAAGGCCUGAGGCUCAAGGAAAAUUAGUUUUUAUGUGAUAUGAGAGUUUUAUAUGUAACUUUUUUUUUUUUUGAGACGGGGUCUCGCUCUAUCGCCCAGGCUGGAGUGCAGUGGCGGGAUCUCGGCUCACUGCAAACUCCGCCUCCCGGGUUCACGCCAUUCUCCUGCCUCAGCCUCCCGAGUAGCUGGGACUACAGGCGCCCGCCACCGCGCCCAGCUAUAUUUUUGUAUUUUUUGUAGAGACGGGGUUUCACCGUGUUAGCCAGGAUGGUCUCGAUCUCCUGACCUCGUGAUCCACCCGCCUCAGCCUCCCAAAGUGCUGGGAUGACAGGCGUGAGCCACCGCGCCCGGCCUAUAUGUAACUGUUAAAUGGAUCUUUAAAGGGAAAAGUCAGAAACAAGGAAAAAUGACCUAUGUCUCAUAACUUACCUGUUUUUGCAAGCCAGGUGCUUUUUCUGCAGAGUGGGAAAAGAGACUCUUUUAAAUUUUAGCCUUUGGUCUACUGGUGGGGGGCAGGGAGGACAUGCUUUGCGUGGGCCAGGAGAAGCUUAAAAUUGGGGGAAACAGUAAAACAGCAGGAAAGUAAAAAUGAUGAAAGAAUUUUCAUCCCAUAGAGCACUGGAGCGCUGCAUCCGAAAGCUCUGAAACCACCCCCCUUUGAUUUUUGCAGGAGGAACCCCUCUCCCAGAUCACUGCCUACUGCAAUAGUUGCUGGGACACCAAAGGCUUAGAGGACAGUGUGGCCAAGACCUUCGAGAAAUGCAUCAUUGAAGCCGUGAGCUCAGCCUGCCAGGUGAACAAUCUCUCCUCCUGGGAAACGGAUUCGGGCUCACAGCUGUGUUCUGCCAUGACCCAGCUAAGGGCUAUGAAGCACCCGCUGGGUCUCAGCUCCUCCGCUAACUCAGAGAUUGGGAAGUGGGCACCCUCCUCCCUCGCCAAGGGCAAUGGCGCUGAAAUCUAGUUCUCUCCGGAUUCCUCAGUGUGCUGCACAGUCCCUGCUGCUCGCACCAUCCUGCAUGUGUUCCAUAUGGAAUCACGGCCGUGCGCGUGUGGCACAAGUCACACGGGCUUGCAGGCCGUUCCUCAGAUGGCCCUGUCAUCACUGUGGCUGCUGGUUUGAUUGAUUGUUAACACUUGCUCAGUAGGUGUGCGGGAAGAGACUCCAAAGGUUGACAGAACAUUUAUGGAAGCAAAAUAUGUGAAAUGGAAAAUUGUAUCAAUUUAUUUAGCUCUUUUCGGCAAAGGGGAAGAGAUUGUGCCCCCCUGUCUCCCAGGAACAGUCUCGCAGGCAAUGCCACAUGAGGAAGCUCCCUGCUGGCCACGGCUGCCCUGCUCACAUUUCCUAAUUGGACACUUAACCCCUGUACAAGCACAGCCUUGCGGCCACAGGGGAAGUCCAGAAACAUUGAGGUCAUUGAAUUCCGGGGACCAAGGGGUUCUAAUUUUUUAAGUGACUGAUACCUUUGAUAAGGUUUUCCUUUCCCUUUUUCGUUAACUCUUUGUUGAGAUAUUGUUCGUAUGCCAUACGGUACAUCUGUCAAAAGUUCCAGUUCAGCAGGUUUUGGGGUAGUCACAGAUAUGUACAGUCAUCACCACAGUUAAUGACAGAGCAUUUUCAUCACUUCAAAGAGAAACCCGGCCCCUUUAGCCAUCAUCCUCCUCCCCUCUAGUCACCCACUCCCCUCUGCAGGCAUAAACAAUUGCUGAACA